GAUGAACGCUAGCGGCAGGCUUAAUACAUGCAAGUCGAGGGGCAGCACGGUUAGCAAUAACUGGUGGCGACCGGCGCACGGGUGCGUAACACGUAUACAAUCUACCUUAAACAGGGGGAUAGCCUUUUCGAAAGAGAGAUUAAUACCCCGUAAUAAAUUGAACGGCAUCGUUUGAUUUUGAAAGCUCCGGCGGUUUGAGAUGAGUAUGCGCCUGAUUAGCUAGUUGGUGAGGUAACGGCUCACCAAGGCGACGAUCAGUAGGGGAUCUGAGAGGACUAACCCCCACACUGGUACUGAGACACGGACCAGACUCCUACGGGAGGCAGCAGUAAGGAAUAUUGGUCAAUGGAGCAAUCUGAACCAGCCAUGCCCGCGUGCAGGAUGACGGCCCUAUGGGUUGUAAACUGCUUUUAUACAAAGAGAAAACCCUGGUACGUGUAACCAGGUUGAUAGUAUUGUAAGAAUAAGCAUCGGCUAACUUCGUGCCAGCAGCCGCGGU
rnacentral:rRNA from 1 species